UGAGGCCUCCCCCUUCCCAAGUCCAUUCCCACUGUAGGCCGAUGCCUGUGCAAAGGACGCAGUGCCUUAUCAAAGAAGACCCUUGAAGAGGACUCACCCCAAGCAAGGGAACACUGGUGGGGGAACUUCUGCCUUCCUGGUUUCCUUGACUUUGGCCUCCUUCUCUUCCUCCUUAUCUUCUCCAACCUCCUUCCUUUAUUUGUUCCACAGACUGGACCGCAAAUCAUUACCUUGAACCACACAGACCUGGUUCCCUGCCUCUGUAUUCAGGUGUGGCCUCUGGAACCUGACUCCGUUAGGACGAACAUCUGCCCCUUCAGGGAGGACCCCCGCGCACACCGGAACCUCUGGCGAGCCGCCCGCCUGCGACUGCUGACCCUGCAGAGCUGGCUGCUGGACGCACCGUGCUCGCUGCCCGCAGAAGCGGCACUGUGCUGGCGGGCUCCGGGUGGGGACCCCUGCCAGCCACUGGUCCCACCGCUUUCCUGGGAGAAUGUCACUGUGGAUAAGGUUCUCGAGUUCCCAUUGCUGAAAGGCCACCCUAACCUCUGUGUUCAGGUGAACAGCUGGGAGAAGCUGCAGCUGCAGGAGUGCUUGUGGGCUGAGGGCAGCUCGCCUUGGAGAGUACUUACUACAAGACCUGCAGUCAGGCCAGUGUCUGCAGCUAUGGGAUGAUGACUUGGGAGCGCUAUGGGCCUGCCCCAUGGACAAAUACAUCCACAAGCGCUGGGCCCUCGUGUGGCUGGCCUGCCUACUCUUUGCCGCUGCGCUUUCCCUCAUCCUCCUUCUCAAAAAGGAUCAUGCGAA
rnacentral:sRNA from 1 species